UCCUCUAAAACUCAAGAAGACAUCAUAGGCCCCUUCUGGUCUAGAUCGAGAAGACUCUGGCUCUGUCAUGGCAGCUCAAUAUAACGAAGAGUUAGCUAUGAAAUUCCAAAGCUAUGAUAUUGAAAUGAGGUUAAUUGUAUUCUUUAUAUAGGAGAAGGAGAAAGGAUAUGCUUUGUAUUCAUUUGCAGGAGAGAGCACCACAAAUUUCGAGUCAAAG